rnacentral:rRNA from 1 species
AUUGAACGCUGGCGGAAUGCUUUACACAUGCAAGUCGAACGGCAGCACGGACUUCGGUCUGGUGGCGAGUGGCGAACGGGUGAGUAACAUAUCGGAACGUAUCCAAUAAUGGGGGAUAACGAGUCGAAAGAUUCGCUAAUACCGCAUACGCCCUACGGGGGAAAGCUGGGGACCUUCGGGCCUGGCGUUAAUGGAGCGGCCGAUAUCUGAUUAGGUAGGUGGUGAGGUAGAGGCUAACCAAGGCGACGAUCAGGAGCUGGUCUGAGAGGACGACCAGCCACACUGGAACUGAGACACGGUCCAGACUCCUACGGGAGGCAGCAGUGGGGAAUUUUGGACAAUGGGCGCAAUCCUGAUCCAGCCAUUCCGCGUGAGUGAGGAAGGCCUUCGGGUUGUAAAGCUCUUUCGCAAGGGAAGAAAACUUAGCCACUAACAUUGGUUGAGGUUGACGGUACCUUGAUAAGAAGCACCGGCUAACUACGUGCCAGCCGCCGCCGUAAGAC